rnacentral:rRNA from 1 species
GGACUACCGGGGUAUCUAAUCCUGUUUGCUCCCCACGCUUUCGUGCCUCAACGUCAGGAAUGAGCCAAGAAGCUGCCUUCGCCAUUGGUGUUCCUCCCGAGAUCCACGCAUUUUACCGCUACUCCGGGAAUUCCACUUCUCUCUCUCACCCUCUAGCUUGCCAGUUUUCAUCGCAAUACUCCGGUUAGGCCGGAGCCUUUAACAACAAACUUAACAUGCCGUCUACGCACCCUUUACGCCCAGUGAUUCCGAAUAACGCUUGCACCCUUCGUAUUACCGCGGCUGCUGGCAC